rnacentral:tRNA from 1 species
GCAGUCGUGGCUGAGCGGUUAAGGCGAUGGACUAGAAAUCCAUUGGGGUCUCCCCUCGCAGGUUCAUAUCAUGCCGGCUGCG